rnacentral:rRNA from 1 species
UUGAACGCUGGCGGCAGGCCUAACACAUGCAAGUCGAACGGUAACAGAAAGCAGCUUGCUGCUUUGCUGACGAGUGGCGGACGGGUGAGUAAUGUCUGGGAAACUGCCUGAUGGAGGGGGAUAACUACUGGAAACGGUAGCUAAUACCGCAUAACGUCGCAAGACCGAAGAGGGGGACCUUCGGGCCUCUUGCCAUCGGAUGUGCCCAGAUGGGAUUAGCUAGUAGGUGGGGUAACGGCUCACCUAGGCGACGAUCCCUAGCUGGUCUGAGAGGAUGACCAGCCACACUGGAACUGAGACACGGUCCAGACUCCUACGGGAGGCAGCAGUGGGGAAUAUUGCACAAUGGGCGCAAGCCUGAUGCAGCCAUGCCGCGUGUAUGAAGAAGGCCUUCGGGUUGUAAAGUACUUUCAGCGGGGAGGAAGGGAGUAAAGUUAAUACCUUUGCUCAUUGACGUUACCCGCAGAAGAAGCACCGGCUAACUCCGUG